UACAGAGGUCCCAAGCGUUGUUCGGAUUCACUGGGCGUAAAGGGUGCGUAGGUGGUUGGGUAAGUCUGAUGUGAAAUCUCCGAGCCUAACUCGGAAACUGCAUCGGAUACUAUUCAGCUAGAGGGUUGGAGGGGGGACUGGAAUUCUCGGUGUAGCAGUGAAAUGCGUAGAUAUCGAGAGGAACACCAGUGGCGAAGGCGAGUCCCUGGACAACUCCUGACACUGAGGCACGAAAGCUAGGGGAGCAAACAGG
rnacentral:rRNA from 1 species